UACAAAUGUAGAUAUAGCCUAUAAGGAUGUUUGGAGUCAAGGAUCGAGGUUAAACAUAACACUUCAUGUAAAGAUUUUGUCUGAUGAAUGAUUUAGAAGGAAUAAGUCAUUGUUUAUAUAACCUAGACAUAUCAUUGCUCAUGAUCAGUAGAUGACACCUAAUAGUUUUUGGGCCAUUGGAUCAAACAUCCGGAUCUUAACUAUCUCGUGGCCACACCUUAGUAUCUCGUGGCCAUGACAUAGUAUCUCGUGGCAAAGACAAAGUAUCUCGUGGUCACGACUUAAUUAUCUCGUGGCCACGACUUAGUAACUCGUUGUCAAGACAAAGUAUCUCGUUCCCAAAAGAUAAAUUAAAACACUCACAUGUCAACUUUGUGCCACCGUAGAAAAUAAAUGUAGAAAAUAGAUAGAUAGAUAGUAAUUGCGUAUUACAUUGGUUUUAAGUCCUUCUUGUUAUGGAAGUUUGAAUGAUAAACUUAUGGGAUUUUCAUGGUCUAUUUUGGAUGAACUUUCAGAGAAUAUGUGCAGCGUUUUACAAUUGGUAACAUUCUCAGUUGUGCUUCUUGAUAUGUACACAGGUAAGAUAAUUUCUAAACCAAAAUGUUCCAUUCUGUUUUGUUUGUUUGUUUGUUUGUUUGUUUGAUUUUACGCCUUUUUCAACAGUAUUUCAGUCAUAUAGGCGGGUAGUUUCCUAACCAUCGUUCCUGGAGAGUUACACCAGUACUAGACAACCUUCCUCCGCGCUAAACUACCAAAGCAUCUCCCGGGGAUCGAACCCACGCCAGAGAGGUAACUGGAUUAGAAGUCAUCGACUCUAACCCCUCGAC